GUAGUUUGGCAAGCGUUGUCCGGAAUUAUUGGGCGUAAAGCGCGCGCAGGCGGUCCUUUAAGUCUGAUGUGAAAGCCCACGGCUCAACCGUGGAGGGUCAUUGGAAACUGGGGGACUUGAGUACAGAAGAGGAAAGCGGAAUUCCAAGUGUAGCGGUGAAAUGCGUAGAGAUUUGGAGGAACACCAGUGGCGAAGGCGGCUUUCUGGUCUGUAACUGACGCUGAGGCGCGAAAGCGUGGGGAGCAAACAGGGAUUAGAUACCCUGGUAGUCCACGCCGUAAACGAUGAGUGCUAAGUGUUAGGGGGUUUCCCGCCCCUUAGUGCUGCAGCUAACGCAUUAAGCACUCCGCCUGGGGAGUACGGCCGCAAGGCUG
rnacentral:rRNA from 1 species